rnacentral:rRNA from 1 species
AGAGAGAGACAUGCGCGCAUAUCAAUAAGCGGAGGAAAAGAGACUAACAAGGAUUCCCCUAGUAACGGCGAGUGAAGCGGGAAGAGCUCAAAUUUGAAAUCUUAAAGGGUUUCCCUUUACGAAUUGUAGUUUAAAGAAGUGUUUUCUGUUGAGGUUUUGGUAAAAGUUCUUUGGAAUAGGACAUCAUAGAGGGUGAGAAUCCCGUAUUUGACCUUUACUUUCAACUUUGUGAUACACUUUCAAAGAGUCGGAUUGUUUGGGAAUGCAGUCCAAAAUGGGUGGUAAAUUUCAUCUAAAGCUAAAUAUUGGCGAGAGACCGAUAGCGAACAAGUACCGUGAGGGAAAGAUGAAAAGAACUUUGAAAAGAGAGUUAAACAGUACGUGAAAUUGUCAAAAGGGAAGCGUUUGACACCAGUGUUGUUUUUCUGAAAAUCAAUUAAAGAACUGUUUAUGCUAAGUUGUUUAGACUUUAUCAGCUAACUGUUUAGUUUUGAGCUUUUCUUUAAUGCACUUUUCAGUUAACAAGUCAACAUCAAUUUCUUUUGCUGUAAAAAAGCUUGAGGAAGGUGGCUUGAGAUUCGUCUUAAGUGUUUAUAGCCUCUUGCCUAUGCAGUCAGGAGAGAUUGAGGUCUGCAGCGUAGAUCCUUCGGGGCUAAAUGCAUUUGUGCUAAGUUAUAGCAUUUUAUAGACAACUUGUUGACUAUGAUUUGUCUUGUAGCUUACUCGCUUAUGUUAUUUUACCUACGCUUAGGAUGUUGAGCGCAUGUCUCUCUCU